rnacentral:rRNA from 1 species
CGUGGGAAACCUGCUCUUGAGUGGGGAAUAACAGUUCUAACGGGCUGCUAAUACCGCAUGAUGCAGUGGAUCGCAUGUUCCGCUGUUAAAGGAGGCCUCUUCAUGAAAGCCUUCGCUUAAGAAUGGUCCCGCGUCCUAUUAGCUUGUUGGUGGGGUAACGGCCUACCAAGGCAACGAUGGGUAGCCGGCUUGAGAGAGUGGUCGGCCACACUGGGACUGAGAUACGGCCCAG